rnacentral:rRNA from 1 species
ACUCCUGCGGGAGGCAGCAGUGGGGAAUAUUGGACAAUGGGCGCAAGCCUGAUCCAGCCAUGCCGCGUGAGUGAUGAAGGCCCUAGGGUUGUAAAGCUCUUUCACCGGAGAAGAUAAUGACGGUAUCCGGAGAAGAAGCCCCGGCUAACUUCGUGCCAGCAGCCGCGGUAAUACGAAGGGGGCUAGCGUUGUUCGGAAUUACUGGGCGUAAAGCGCACGUAGGCGGAUCGAUCAGUCAGGGGUGAAAUCCCAGGGCUCAACCCUGGAACUGCCUUUGAUACUGUCGAUCUGGAGUAUGGAAGAGGUGAGUGGAAUUCCGAGUGUAGAGGUGAAAUUCGUAGAUAUUCGGAGGAACACCAGUGGCGAAGGCGGCUCACUGGUCCAUUACUGACGCUGAGGUGCGAAAGCGUGGGGAGCAAACAGGAUUAGAAACCCGAGUAGUCCC